GAGAGCGGGAGCCCGGAGAUGGAAUCUGAGACAAAAUUCCAGGCCCUACGGGGCGCAGCAGGCGCGAAACCUCCACAAUGCCGAAAGUGUGAUGGGGCUAUCUCGAGUGCUACCUGAUGAAGGUGGCUUUUCCUUGGUCUAAAAAGCCUUGGGAAUAAGAGGGGGGCAAGACUGGUGUCAGCCGCCGCGGUAACACCAGCCCCUCGAGUGGUGGGGAUGAUUAUUUGGCCUAAAGCGUCCGUAGCCGGCCGUGUAAGUCUUCCGUUAAAUCCGGCGUCUCAAGCGUUGGACCGCGGGAGAUACUGUACGGCUAGAGAGUGGGAGAGGUCAGCGGUAUUCUGGGGGUAGGGGCGAAAUCCUUUGAUCCCCGGAGGACCACCAGUGGCGAAGGCUGCUGACUAGAACACGUCUGACGGUCAGGGACGAAAGCUGGGGUAGCGAACCGGAUUAGAUACCCGGGUAGUCCCAGCCGUAAACGAUGCAUGCUAGGUGUUGGGUUGGCCACGCGCCACCCCAGUGCCGCAAGGGAAGCCGUUAAGCAUGCCGCCUGGGGAAGUACGAUCGCAAGAUUGAAACUUAAAGGAAUUGGCGGGGGAGCACCACCAGGCGUGAAGCCUCGGUUUAAUUGGAUUCAACGCCGGA
rnacentral:rRNA from 1 species